AAAUUGAAGAGUUUGAUCAUGGCUCAGAUUGAACGCUGGCGGCAGGCCUAACACAUGCAAGUCGAGCGGUAGCACAGAGAGCUUGCUCUCGGGUGACGAGCGGCGGACGGGUGAGUAAUGUCUGGGAAACUGCCUGAUGGAGGGGGAUAACUACUGGAAACGGUAGCUAAUACCGCAUAAUGUCGCAAGACCAAAGUGGGGGACCUUCGGGCCUCAUGCCAUCAGAUGUGCCCAGAUGGGAUUAGCUAGUAGGUGGGGUAACGGCUCACCUAGGCGACGAUCCCUAGCUGGUCUGAGAGGAUGACCAGCCACACUGGAACUGAGACACGGUCCAGACUCCUACGGGAGGCAGCAGUGGGGAAUAUUGCACAAUGGGCGCAAGCCUGAUGCAGCCAUGCCGCGUGUGUGAAGAAGGCCUUCGGGUUGUAAAGCACUUUCAGCGGGGAGGAAGGCGGUGAGGUUAAUAACCUCAUCGAUUGACGUUACCCGCAGAAGAAGCACCGGCUAACUCCGUGCCAGCAGCCGCGGUAAUACGGAGGGUGCAAGCGUUAAUCGGAAUUACUGGGCGUAAAGCGCACGCAGGCGGUCUGUCAAGUCGGAUGUGAAAUCCCCGGGCUCAACCUGGGAACUGCAUUCGAAACUGGCAGGCUAGAGUCUUGUAGAGGGGGGGUAGAAUUCCAGGUGUAGCGGUGAAAUGCGUAGAGAUCUGGAGGAAUACCGGUGGCGAAGGCGGCCCCCUGGACAAAGACUGACGCUCAGGUGCGAAAGCGUGGGGAGCAAACAGGAUUAGAUACCCUGGUAGUCCACGCCGUAAACGAUGUCGAUUUGGAGGUUGUGCCCUUGAGGCGUGGCUUCCGGAGCUAACGCGUUAAAUCGACCGCCUGGGGAGUACGGCCGCAAGGUUAAAACUCAAAUGAAUUGACGGGGGCCCGCACAAGCGGUGGAGCAUGUGGUUUAAUUCGAUGCAACGCGAAGAACCUUACCUGGUCUUGACAUCCACAGAACUUUCCAGAGAUGGAUUGGUGCCUUCGGGAACUGUGAGACAGGUGCUGCAUGGCUGUCGUCAGCUCGUGUUGUGAAAUGUUGGGUUAAGUCCCGCAACGAGCGCAACCCUUAUCCUUUGUUGCCAGCGGUCCGGCCGGGAACUCAAAGGAGACUGCCAGUGAUAACUGGAGGAAGGUGGGGAUGACGUCAAGUCAUCAUGGCCCUUACGACCAGGGCUACACACGUGCUACAAUGGCAUAUACAAAGAGAAGCGACCUCGCGAGAGCAAGCGGACCUCAUAAAGUAUGUCGUAGUCCGGAUUGGAGUCUGCAACUCGACUCCAUGAAGUCGGAAUCGCUAGUAAUCGUAGAUCAGAAUGCUACGGUGAAUACGUUCCCGGGCCUUGUACACACCGCCCGUCACACCAUGGGAGUGGGUUGCAAAAGAAGUAGGUAGCUUAACCUUCGGGAGGGCGCUUACCACUUUGUGAUUCAUGACUGGGGUGAAGUCGUAACAAGGUAACCGUAGGGGAACCUGCGGUUGGAUCACCUCCUUACCUUAAAGAA
rnacentral:rRNA from 1 species